rfam:Lasius niger Lnig_2.1_17630, whole genome shotgun sequence.
CAAACGGCCCUUUUCAGGGCCACCCAAAAGAUCCAACGUGAACAUCU